rnacentral:ncRNA from 1 species
CCAAUCAAACUCGGAGAUAGCUGGUUCUCUGCGAAAUCUAUUUAGGUAGAGCGUCACACGAAUACCCCCGGGGGUAGAGCACUGGAUGGGUAAUGGGGCCCCACAGGCUUACUGAUCCUAACCAAACUCCGAAUACCGAGAAGUACUAGAUGGCAGACACACUGCGGAUGCUAACGUCCGUAGUGGAGAGGGAAACAACCCUGACCUACAGCUAAGGCCCCCAAUUCAUGGCUAAGUGGGAAAGCAGGUGAGACGUCCAAAACAACCAGGAGGUUGGCUUAGAAGCAGCCAUCCUUUAAAGAUAGCGUAACAGCUCACUGGUCUAAAUAAGAUGUCUUGCGGCGAAGAUGUAACGGGGCUCAAGCCAUGAGCCGAAGCUUAGGAGUGCGUAAGCACUGGUAGCAGAGCGUAGUGUGACAUGGUUUCUAUCCUCUUUAGUGUCCUUCGGGGCACCUUGGAGGAGAAGAAAUCUUCGAUGAAGCGGGCGUGUGAACGAUCCCGUGGAGAGAUCACUAGUGAGAAUGAUGACAUGAGUAGCGACAAAGAGUGUGAGAGACACUCUCGCCGAAAGUCCAAGGGUUCCUGCUUAAAGUUAAUCUGAGCAGGGUAAGCCGACCCCUAAGGCGAGGCCGAAAGGCGUAGUCGAUGGGAACCAGGUUAAUAUUCCUGGG